UAAGUAGGGUGCAAGCGUUAAUCGGAAUUACUGGGCGUAAAGCGUGCGCAGGCGGUUGUGCAAGACAGAUGUGAAAUCCCCGGGCUCAACCUGGGAAUUGCAUUUGUGACUGCACGGCUAGAGUGUGUCAGAGGGGGGUAGAAUUCCACGUGUAGCAGUGAAAUGCGUAGAGAUGUGGAGGAAUACCGAUGGCGAAGGCAGCCCCCUGGGAUAACACUGACGCUCAUGCACGAAAGCGUGGGGAGCAAACAGG
rnacentral:rRNA from 1 species